rfam:Citrus sinensis cultivar Ridge Pineapple sweet orange scaffold00690_contig_14, whole genome shotgun sequence.
AUGCCAUGAUGAGGACAUCUCCUAAGAAACUCCUUGAAUCUUUCCCAAGCUUCAUACAAGCUUUCAUCUUCUAGUUGAUGAAAGGAAAUAAUCUCAUUCCAUAACUUU